ACAUAUGAAAAAAAUCAAAUCCUAGGACAAGCUAGCAACAUUUGCUAUUUUUCUCACCACCCUUCUUACUAUUUUUCUUCUCAAUUUUUUUCUUUGUCUUUUUUCAAUUAUUUUUUAGAUUUUUUCUCUCAUAUCACAUACCAAAUACCUCUGAUUUUCAAUCAAAAUCCAGCACCCAACCCAUAUAGGACACCCCAUAUAAA
rnacentral:lncRNA from 1 species